rnacentral:rRNA from 1 species
AUUGAACGCUGGCGGCAUGCUUUACACAUGCAAGUCGAACGGUAACAGGGUGCUUGCACCGCUGACGAGUGGCGAACGGGUGAGUAAUGCGUCGGAACGUGCCGAGUAGUGGGGGAUAACGCAGCGAAAGUUGUGCUAAUACCGCAUACGUACUGAGGUAGAAAGUGGGGGACCUUCGGGCCUCACGCUAUUCGAGCGGCCGACGUCUGAUUAGCUAGUAGGUGAGGUAAAGGCUCACCUAGGCGACGAUCAGAAGCGGGUCUGAGAGGAUGAACCGCCACACUGGGAAUGAGACACGGCCCAGACUCCUACGGGAGGCAGCAGUGGGGAAUUUUGGACAAUGGGCGAAAGCCUGAUCCAGCCAUGCCGCGUGUCUGAAGAAGGCCUUCGGGUUGUAAAGGACUUUUGUCAGGGAGGAAAUCCCUAGUGCUAAUAACACUGGGGGAUGACAGUACCUGAAGAAUAAGCACCGGCUAACUACGUGCCAGCCGCCGCCGUAA